rnacentral:rRNA from 1 species
CCUACGGGGGGCAGCAGUGAGGAAUAUUGGUCAAUGGGCGGGAGCCUGAACCAGCCAAGCCGCGUGAGGGAAGAAGGUACAGCGUAUCGUAAACCUCUUUUGUCAGGGAACAAAGGCGGGGACUAGUCCCCGGAUGAGGGUACCUGAAGAAAAAGCAUCGGCUAACUCCGUGCCAGCAGCCGCGGUAAUACGGAGGAUGCGAGCGUUAUCCGGAUUUAUUGGGUUUAAAGGGUGCGCAGGCGGCCUGUUAAGUCAGCGGGAAAAGCCCGGGGCUCAACCCCGGCGAGCCGUUGAAACUGGCGGGCUGGAGUUGGAGAGAAGUACGCGGAAUGCGCGGUGUAGCGGUGAAAUGCUUAGAGAUCGCGCAGAACCCCGAUUGCGAAGGCAGCGUACCGGCUCCACACUGACGCUGAGGCACGAAAGCGUGGGUAUCGAACAGGAUUAGAUACCCCAGUAGUC